AUCUAAGUAAUUAACAAAAUAAAUAUUACUCAAUGCCAUUUGUGUGCUUCUCAUUGGUCCUUUGAAAAUUAUCCCUCUCUUCUUCCUCUCCUCACUUUCGUUCUCUCUCUCAUCGUCUCUUCUUCUCUUUUCCCUAAAACCCAGAAUCACAAAAAAAAACAAACCCUAAACUCCUCUCUCUAUUAUGAUUCAGAUCUAGAAACAUGGAAGAAUGUUAUCAUUCCUCUCGCCGUCGCCACCAUCGUGUCUUCUGUCACCUUUCUCUCUCUCUUUCUCUUUUUCUCUCUUUUUUCUCUGAAGCCCUAAAACGCCGCCACCCUUUCUGCCUCUAUUAUUGGUGACCACCACCUCCGAUGAAAAAAUCAAAGCCAUUUUCGUACUAUCCGUCUCAUGGCCUUCCUAAUGAACUGGCAGUUUAAGAGAAAACUGAAGACUCAAACUUCUUGCUGAAAGGGGAAAUUCUAAAAAAGCAACAACUAUAUUGGAAACUACCAGACUUGGUCAGACCUGCAGUUCGAGGCAACAACUCAGUUUCGAAGUUGCUUUCAAUUGAAUGUAGCCCACAGAUUGAGGAGGUUAUACAAAUUGGUGUGGUUCCGUGAUUUGUUGAGUUUUUAAUAAGGGAGGGUUUUCCACAGCUACAGAUUGGUAUAAGUUAUAACAAAUGAUUUUCACUAUUUGGAGAUGGCACCUCUUCCAUCCAAAGCAAAGCGUUGCAUCCUCUGUUUUGUAGAGCUCCGGGAUUUGCCUCUCCGUGAUGUUGAUGAAAGAAGAGUCUGGCCCAUGCCCAAUCAAUGUGGCUUGGCCAAUUAGCAAGUGUCAUUCCAAAGGUGGAGCAGUGUCUGAAAUUUUUUUGAAGUCGCAGAAUAUACUUUCUGUUGGAAAUCACCAGACUCCCAAGGCGAAGAAACCGUAUACCAUCACUAAACAAAGGGAGAAGUGGACUGAAGAAGAGCAUCAAAAGUUCAUCAAGGCUUUGAAAUUAUAUGGCUGUGGCUGGCGUCAAAUUGAAGCGCGAAGAUUUAUUUUUCAGGUUAUGCGGGAACCUGAUGGCAGCGCUGAAGGUCCUAUUCAGCCAAUUAACAUACCUCCUCCUCACCCAAAGCGGAAAUCUCUUCAUCCAUACCCUCGCAAAUCAAUUGAGACUUUCAAGGGACAGUCAGUCCUGAAUGAAUCAUAAAGAUCUCCAUCCAUUAACUUGUCCGCUGUAGAUAACAACACCCAAUCUCCAACCUCGGUACUAUCUGCAUUUGAUUCGGAAGCGUAAGGGUUAGCAGCAUUUUCUAAGCAGACUAACAGAUGCCUUUCUCCAAACUCUUACACCACCGAGAUUCACCCGUUAUACCGGGAAUGAGAAAUCUUGCGUUUGACAUGCUAGAGAUUUUGCUGAUGCUAUGGAUUUUGCAGUUAUACCGAUUAUUGACGCUAAAUUGUUGCAAGCACAUUCUCAAUUUGGUGCAGCUGGUGCUGCAGCAGUCACUGUUGCUGCUCACAGGCAUUCUGCAGGCUUUUAGUAUGGACUGUCAAUAGAUUGGGAGCUCUCAAAGAGAGAUUUGCCAGAAAUGCUUUGUGCCUAAGUUAGGAAGUUAAAUUUUUGUUGGGUUUAGUUUUUGUUUUCUACGUCUGCUUUCAUCAUUGUAAUUAUAUGUAUAUCAUUUAAUUGAUUAAUAAAAAUAUUGAUUGUUCCUCUC